rnacentral:rRNA from 1 species
GACGAACGCUGGCGGCGUGCUUAACACAUGCAAGUCGAACGAAGUGGCGAACGGGUGAGUAACGCGUAAUCACCCUGCCCUUCAUGGGGGGACAACAGUUGGAAACGACUGCUAAUACCGCAUACUGAAGGAGGGGAUUGCGUCUGAUUAGCUAGUUGGAGGGGUAAAGGCCUACCAAGGCGGUGACGGGUAGCCGGCCUGAGAGGGUGACCGGCAACAUUGGGACUGAGAUACGGCCCAGACUCCUACGGGAGGCAGCAGUGGGGAAUAUUGGACAAUGGGCGAAAGCCUGAUCCAGCCAUGCCGCGUGUGUGAAGAAGGUCUUCGGAUUGUAAAGCACUUUAAGUUGGGAGGCGUUACCAACAGAAUAAGCACCGGCUAACUUCGUGCCAGCAGCCGCGGUAAUUC